rnacentral:rRNA from 1 species
CCUACGGGUGGCAGCAGUGAGGAAUAUUGGUCAAUGGGCGCGAGUCUGAACCAGCCAAGUAGCGUGAAGGAUGACUGCCCUAUGGGUUGUAAACUUCUUUUAUAUAGGAAUAAAGUGAUCCACGUGUGCCUUUUUGUAUGUACUUUAUGAAUAAGGAUCGGCUAACUCCGUGCCAGCAGCCGCGGUAAUACGGAGGAUCCGAGCGUUAUCCGGAUUUAUUGGGUUUAAAGGGAGCGUAGGUGGGUUGUUAAGUCAGUUGUGAAAGUUUGCGGCGUAACCGUAAAAGUGCAGUUGAUACUGGCAGGCGUGAGUACAGUAGAGGUGGGCGGAAUUCGUGGUGUAGCGGUGAAAUGCUUAGA